rnacentral:rRNA from 1 species
CCCUUAGAUGUUCUGGGCCGCACGCGCGCUACACUGAUGCAUUCAACGAGUCUAAAACCUGGUCUGAUAGGGCUGGGUAAUCUUUUGAAAGUGCAUCGUGAUUGGGAUAGAUGAUUGCAAUUCUUCAUCUUCAACGAGGAAUGCCUAGUAAACGCAAGUCAUCAGCUUGCAUUGAUUACGUCCCUGCCCUUUGUACACACCGCCCGUCGCUCCUACCGAUUGAAUGAUCCGAUGAAUACCAUGGAUUGAGAGUACGAAUAGGUUCGCUUAUUUCUGCUGCUCGAGAAGUGGAGUAAAUCUUAUCACUUAGAGGAAGGAGAAGUCGUAACA